CGUGACGCCAUGGGGUCUGCACGUGUAUGAUGGUCACCGCUGCAGUGGAAGGGUCCUUAGACGGACAUGAUGUGCUUGACAAAGGCUGUGGACGAAAAAAGCCCCAGGGCGGCAGACAGACAGGACAGAACAGGGCGAGUGCCAGCGGUGCAGCCACACCACCCCCACCCACCACCACCACCACAGGGCCCUGGUGAUGACGGAACUGCAUGAAUUCCUCCACUCUGCAGGCCCCUUCCCUUCCCCCCAUCCACUUGCUUUCACUGACCCCAUCUCCACGAGGCCAAGCCAGAGAAAGCCCCGGUCCCUCAGCUGUCAUCUGGGCUCACCCACGGCACCCCACGGCACCCCACGGCACCUUCUCCAAAGUCCGACUUCCCUUCGCUUCCCUUCCCCAGAUAGAAACUCUGCCCCAGUCCUUGCACCUGUGCUGCAGUCCAAUCUGAGCUCCAUUAUAGAAUCUUAAUGGAUUCAGCCGCAUUGCAGAGCUGGGCUUUAUUAAGAUGUGAUGGCAGGUCGGCUUGAGCAGAGGAAGAAGGAAGUUUAUUUGGCACUGACGUGUGCCAAGUAUAGUGUGAAUCGCGUACAGCAUGUGAUCUCAAGUAGCCCAUUGUUACAACAAAAUCCAUAUAAGGGGCUGUUUUAGGGAUUCAAAUUGUCUUUUUAUUCCCACCCAGUACAAGUUUCUGAGAGCUGUCUGUGUCGACACACUGCCCCUGCUUCAUGUCUGCUAUGCCGAUCUAUGAAAUAUACACUUUUCUUGUCAAAAAGAAAAAAAGAAAUGAAAAAAAAACCUUCAUUUAGUAGGUUUGUUCUCUGUGGUUAGUGUUUGAUAAGGCAGCCUGAACAAACAUGAGUUUCUAAAUAAGUUUCAGUGUUGCCCCCUGCUACUGAGUCAUUGAAGGUAUCACAUUCGUGAAGAUAAUCGUCUCCUUCUGACUGAACAUGUAACCCUUUACUUAUUCAUCGUCAGUGUCCAAACAACACUGGAGAUGUGAGGUCAGAUCUCUUUUAAAGAGCGGAGGGGCCAUUUCAAUUGUACGAUAAAGGGAGCGGCACAGCAGUGACCCGCGCCACCUGAAGAUCAGUCUCAACAACCAUCCCCCGGUGAAAACUGCUGCCAGUGAACCUGCGUACCACAUCUCGUUGCAAUCCAUCGAAUAAUCUUUGAGAUAUUUCAGUUUGAACCAAAGUGGUGAGUUUGACCGACUGACCAAGAGACCAAACAUUGCCACCCCUGGAGUCAUGGUGCUAAGAUGACGAGAAGAAGAAAAAACAGGUUGUCGCCACUUUGCAUAAGUUAAGCUCAAAGAAUACCGAUCUAUAAAUAUCCCAGUUAGACUGUGAAUGACAGCUGUCAGAGCUUUGCUUGACCUGUGAUCCUUCUUCGGCUGUCUGCUCUUCCAGUUGGCCCAUACGUGUCGUAAAAGUCUGCUUCUUUAGCCUCCUUCUAAUUCAAACCAUGGUGGUCAUCUAACUAUGGUAGAAACAACAAUGUGGGUGUCACCAUUGUGAAAACUUUGUUAUUCAAGCAUUUUGGGAUAAAAAAAAAUAAAGUAGAGGACAAAAUGAAACAAAUGUGGCGCAUUUGAUAAAAAACUAACAUUAUGAUCGAGCCAACAACUUUGAUUCAUUUAAAUUUUUGCUCUUACUUUGCAGAGUUUGCAGGAGUGAUAUUGCAGCCGAGAGAGCGAACAAGAUCUCAUACUCAGGCUUGAAAAAUAUGUUGAUAAACUGAAGCCGGAAGCCUCAGAAGACAAGUUUUUUUCUUAUUCUAUCACUUCAGAUUGUGAAAUACAGAGACAUGACAGAAGGGGUUUAGGGGGAUAUUCUUUUGCAAACUAGUAUGCUUGGAUCUAUCUCUGUGUCACCGCCUCACUCUCUUGCUUUGUCCUUGGAGGGGGAGGUGAGCGGGGCAUUUAUUACCUCCAGGUUUGCUUCAGGCCAGGCGCUAUAACUGUCUGCUCCCAGGAAUGAUGGUGUGAUCUGAAGCACCGAUGCCUGCUUGGCGCUUUGCGCUCAAUUUCACCGUCCACCACACGGCAUUUUUUCUAACGUGGAUCCCGACGUGAACUCUCUCUCUCUCUCUCUCUCUGAACAGAUGAAAUGUCAGUCUCGUCACCAGGACCGGGACUAAAAACAUACAACCCUGAAGUUGAGAGCUGUGCAGUUAAGAGUCUGUGAGGGAGAAAUGACAGAGGCGUGGCCAAUGACAUGUGAGGAAACUUGAGCUUGAAAAUAAAAAGGCAGAGGCUCCCAGGUCCUCAGUGGAGAGUUGGAGCGUCGAGAGGGGUUACUGUACUGGACUGAUGGAACUUCCUUUGCCGCAAACGCAUGCAGCAGAGGUCACCCAGUCAGCCAUCUGGGAUGACUAGAGAGUAGAUUUUGGACUCUGGGUCUGUCCAGCCCCCCCACUCCUCUGCUUUUUUUUUCUUUUUUCAGACCCGGAGUGCUUCCUUCCCUGCCCUCCAACCAUGCCAAAAGGAAUGAGGCUGUAACUGAGCCUGGGGGGACAGAUGGAGCCUAUUUAUAGCCCCUUCAGAGAGGUGUGAAGUUUCUUGGGAUUUCUAAGAGCAGGGGCCUUGGCUCCUUAAGGGGGCUGAUGCAGCCUAUGUGGCCCGCGUGCUCUCUUUCCCUCCCUCGCGCUCUCAAACGCCCUUCUCUGGCCACACAGGGAUUAGAUGGGGGCAGGCUAAACAAAGACACUUGCUGCCCUUUUUACUGGGGACACUGCAUUACUGGAGAGGAAGGGAAUCCGAUAGUGGCCAAAAGGGACAGUCCCUCCCGUCUUUUUCUCCAGCUGAUGACUUGAUCUUCCUUUAACACUGUGGAAGUCGUGACCUCGCCACCGCUGCCGCGGUCGGGACAAUCACACUGUCAUCGCCCAUGGCACAAAUGGUGACGCUUGUGCAAAGGGUGUUUAUUGGAUUUGACAGUGCAUACUGUAACUCUGAGUCAGGAUGGCACCGAUUCUGUUCAAAAGGUGGUGUUGACGGGGCCAGCUACUUUACAGUUAAUGAACCACUUAGUGACAAUUAUAGACUCUUCCAGAGCUACAUUUUUAUUAACGCCAAGGAUGACUGAAUGGAAUAACAUAAAUAACAUACACAAUAAGAAACAUAAAAGUCUGUUCAGUUACAUUGAGUAAUUCAUUAUUUAAAACUGGACUUUUGUCCCAUGAAUCUGGUCAUUACUGUCACAACAACCUUCAAUGUCACUUCUACCACUACAAGUCCCACUAACACGUGUAUAAAACCCAGCCAAAGUGUGUCAUUACAGAAUACAAUCAGGUUCAGACACAGAUGAAGGCACAACACACCGCAUUGAUUUGCGACUUUUCAAACUGAUUUUAAAAACACCGCUGUUGGUUUAUAUCAAGCACUGAAUUAUAUGGAUCAUUUCUGAUCCAUUGUUACAUUCAAAUCAGAGUUAAAUCAACAUUGCCGUUGACCUCUGUUCUGUUUAGGUCUUAUGUAAAGCACUUUGAACUGCUCUGCUGCUGAAAGAUGCAACGCAAACUCGCCUUGCCUCAGAAUAAUAUGUGUAGAAAAUAUCGACAUCUUGUCUAAAGUCAAUAUGUUGAAAGGGGUUCAAUCGGUGCGAACCGCCAUCAUAGAGCCUUGAAAAGAACCAUCCAUUAUUUCUGUUGUCUCUCGACGAAGACUGUGCUUGGAAACCUGGCAGAGAGAGUGGCGAGGGAGUCGGCCUGUCUAUUUACGUCCUCCCUUAAGCUUGGGCACCGUCUGAAAUUUACACUUGAAACCGCAGACAAUGUGGGGACCCCACUGCCGAGGACAGACACUGCAGCUCAUUAGGCAACGCCCGAGCCAAUCAGUGGAGGAAUUCAGAAGGCCGCUGGUCCCGGCAAUAAAGGGCCACUCUGUACAUUGCACAGGCUUCUCAUGUUCUGCCAAUCAUCACCACGCAAUUUUCCAUUGAGGCCAUGUAGAAGCCAAUAAUGUAACAACUUCCUGAUGAAAUAAAAACAAAACCUCUGAAGCAAGAAUACAUUAAUUUCUGUACGAAUAAUGCAAUAGUUAAUUACACAUCUACAGAAGGUUGUUUCAUUAUUGGGUUGACAAUACUUUUAUAGAACCCAAUGAUGUUAUAAUUUCCCAACUGUAAUAACUGGGCCAAUUUUGUAGUAGCAUGUCAUCAAUGAUAUGUUAAUGUAUUUUUGUGUAAUAACAUCAAAUAUGUAAAAGCCAAAUAAAUCUGUCUUUUUAUCUACA